UACGUAGGGGGCAGGCGUUGUCCGGAUUUAUUGGGCGUAAAGAGCGUGUAGGCGGCCAGGUAGGUGGGUUGUGAAAACUGGAGGCUCAACCUUCAGACGUCGACCCAAACCCCCUGGCUAGAGUCCGGAAGAGGAGAGUGGAAUUCCUGGUGUAGCAGUGAAAUGCGCAGAUAUCAGGAAGAACACCCGUGGCGAAGGCGGCUCUCUGGGACGGUACUGACGCUGAGACGCGAAAGCGUGGGGAGCGAACAGG
rnacentral:rRNA from 1 species